rnacentral:rRNA from 1 species
GAUGAACGCUGGCGGCGUGCCUAAUACAUGCAAGUCGAGCGAACAGACGAGGAGCUUGCUCCUCUGACGUUAGCGGCGGACGGGUGAGUAACACGUGGAUAACCUACCUAUAAGACUGGGAUAACUUCGGGAAACCGGAGCUAAUACCGGAUAAUAUAUUGAACCGCAUGGUUCAAUAGUGAAAGACGGUUUUGCUGUCACUUAUAGAUGGAUCCGCGCCGCAUUAGCUAGUUGGUAAGGUAACGGCUUACCAAGGCAACGAUGCGUAGCCGACCUGAGAGGAUGAUCAGCCACACUGGAACUGAGACACGGUCCAGACUCCUACGGGAGGCAGCAGUAGGGAAUCUUCCGCAAUGGGCGAAAGCCUGACGGAGCAACGCCGCGUGAGUGAUGAAGGUCUUCGGAUCGUAAAGCUCUGUUAUUAGGGAAGAACAAAUGUGUAAGUAACUAUGCACGUCUUGACGGUACCUAAACAGAAAGCCACGGCUAACUACGUG